CCCUGGUUUUAAACUAACGGUCGCUUUUUAAACCAACGGUCGCUUUACUUUACUGCUGCGAAACUUAACAUAACUUUAUAUUUUACUGUGUAUACCGGCUUUUACGGUGUCUGACUGGAAGGAACCGUCUUUACCAAGUGGACUUACUUUCCCAAAAUAGGUAUAUAUCCCCCGGCAUGCCGUGAAUGCCUCCAGCUCAUGACCAUGUUGAGGUAACAGUCGGACAAGUGGCUCCACUGAUCACUGCAGACUGACAGCAGACUAUUUGACCAACAUUCAGACCUUCAUUAUGCAACUGCAUCCUGAUUUUGACAAGGUAGGUAUCAUGAGCCAGAGGGUUUGGAGAUUUAGAUCAAAUUAAAGCUGAAACUAUUAGUUGAUUAAUCGUUUUAUUAGUUUUGGUUGGCAACUAUUUAGAUGAUCAAUCAAU